UAAAGGGUACAGGGUUUUUUAGGGGCAUGGUGGAGAUGAUUGAUUUAAAAAUGAUUGUGGUGAUGGUUGCCCAACUCUGUGAAUACACUAAAAAUGAUGGGACUUUACAUUUUAAAUGGGUGAAUUGUAUGGCAUGUGUGUUAUAUUCCAAUAAAUCUGAAACAACAACAAAAAAGAAAUAGAAGUGGGCCUGCUCAGGUGGACUGUCCAGGUGCCACCAAAGCUGACUUUGGAGCCCACCUGCCUCCUGGACCUGCCACCACGGCCCUCCCUCUCCACGUCUGUUCUAUUUUAGAACACGUCGGCCCUACCAGUUAAAUUUUUGUGCUGUUGCUCAGUCUUGAGAGAAUCAGCCAUGGUGCCCUAUUGCAAUGGCCCUUCCUGGUAGAAAUGGUGGAAAAAGAGGCCCCGCGUCACUGGGAGCAGAUCAAAGGUCUGUGAACAGAGUCGCUGCCAGGUACUUGAGUGUUGCACAACUGAAUAAAUGAGUGAUGGGAAUAUAAACAGACGCGGCAGUUCAGUGUCAAGGUUCGUUAGGAAUGAGAAUCUGCACGCCAGCAAGUUUCGUCUUGAACUGACGUUAAGCUUUGUCAAUCACUGCCAUUCUUGGCGUGAAUCUCAUUCUGCCACAUAUUCUGGAUCUCAGAGAAUGGAAACAGGCAUGAUCGCUCUAAAUGCUGGUAGGAUUCUAGAGUCCUCUUCACAUGGGAUAUUAGUCCUUUCACAGUGAUAUUUGGAGAGAUGAUGGCCUGAGAGGUUGAGAUGACCUUCUAGAAUUUGUCUCCAAAAUCCUGCCUCUAUCCACGCUGGAAAACCCAGGCUACUUGCUGGCUAAACCGUGGAGCUGAUUCUCAGUUCUGCACAGUUCCCCACCGGCUGUCCUCUUCCUUCCCUCUGGUCUGGGGCUUCCUCCUCUUUGAGGCUCUGCUCUGUGAUCACUUGCCUCCCCUUGGGUCCACCUGUCAUACCUCCUCUCAGGCCCUCAGUAUCAGAGCUGGACGCAAGCUUCCCACUGCUUUCUCUACUCUGCUCUCUUGAGAACAAGGACACACAUGACUUUUUGUUCUUAAGGGCUGCAGUGGAUAGAAUAAUGGCGCCCCAACAGAGGCUCACAUCCUCAUCCCCAGAAUCCAUGCAUAUGUUCCCUUACAUGGCAAAAGGGACUUUGCAGGUGUGAUUAAGUUAAGGCUCUCCAGAGGAAAAGAUUAUCUUGCAUCAUCCAAGGGCGCCCUAAAUGUGGUCGCAAGGGCCCUUAAGAAAGAGGGAGGCAGAAAGGUCAGAGAAGGAGAUGUGGUGAUGAAAGCAGAGAUCAGAGAGAAGAUGCUGCUGGCCUUGAAGAUGGAGGAAGGGGCCACGAGCCGAAGAAUGCAGGCAGUCUCUGGAGGCGGGAAAACGCAAGGAAAGGAAGUCUCUCCUAGAGCUUCUGGGAGGAAUGCAGUCCCACCAACACCUUGAUUUUAAACUUCUGACCACCAGAACUUUAAGUGCAGGCACCGUCGGGAUGGCCGUGCCUGCUCCAGAAGUCGGCUCUGAUCUUCCCGCCGUCAACAAGACUUUCCCCUCCUUUACGUCCAGCUGACCUCUCGUGCGGGGUGAGAUCCGAAACGGAUAAAAACACACUGGGAGCUGCCAUGUCACAAAGCAGAUGUGUGAGCAUCCUACUCUUGAGCCUGCCGCUGGGAAUCCAGACGUGAUGAGCCUCAGUCUUUUUAAUCGACAGCAGUGGUGAACCAAGACGGUAGAUGCUUUGCUGCAAUGUGACUCGGAGCCAAGGGCGGGCAGAGACUCUGUUCGCAGUCCACCUUCCUUCCAACGCUCCAGGUUGUGAUGUAAUUGCAGCCGAGGCAGAAUUAACAAUAAGGAGCUGGACGUGCCUUAAUUCAUUA